GAGGGUAUAGCUCAAGUGGUAGAGCACAUGCUUAGCAUGCAUGAGGUUCUGCGUUCAAUCCCCAGUACCUCCA
rnacentral:tRNA from 1 species